UGGAGUUGGUGCCUUCGGGAACGUCUGACACAGGUGCUGCAUGGCUGUCGUCAGCUCGUGUCGUGAGAUGUUGGGUUAAGUCCCGUAACGAGCGCAACCCUUGUCCUUAGUUACCAGCACGUUAUGGUGGGCACUCUAAGGAGACUGCCGGUGCAAAACCGGAGGAAGGUGGGGAGUGACGUCAAGUCAUCAUGGCCCUUACGGCCUGGGCUACACACGUGCUACAAUGGUCGGUACAAAGGGCAGCGACACUGCGAGGUGAAGCCAAUCCCGUAAAAUCGGUCUCAGUCCGGAUUGGAGUCUGCAACUCGACUCCAUGAAGUUGGAAUCGCUAGUAAUCGUGGAUCAGCAUGCCACGGUGAAUACGUUCCCGGGCCUU
rnacentral:rRNA from 1 species